GCGCCUAACACAUGCAAGUCGAACGAGAAAGCGGGAGCAAUCUCGCAAGUACAGUGGCGUACGGGUGAGUAACACGUGGAUUAUCUGCCCUGGAGUGGGGAAUAACGCUGGGAAACCGGCGCUAAUACCGCAUAUUCCCGAGAGGGGAAAGCAGCAAUGCGCUCGAGGAGGAGUCCGCGGCCGAUUAGCUAGUUGGCAGGGUAAAAGCCUACCAAGGCAGUGAUCGGUAGCCGGCCUGAGAGGGCACACGGCCACACUGGCACUGAAACACGGGCCAG
rnacentral:rRNA from 1 species